rnacentral:snoRNA from 1 species
GGUCCAUGAUGAGAACCCAAGUCAUGCACCACUCUGAAGGUGUCUCUGCUGAAAAUGUGUUCCAUAACUAUUUCUCUGAGGCU